rnacentral:rRNA from 1 species
GACGAACGCUGGCGGCGUGCUUAACACAUGCAAGUCGAACGAAGAGCGAUGGAAGCUUGCUUCUAUCAAUCUUAGUGGCGAACGGGUGAGUAACGCGUAAUCAACCCGCCCUUCAGAGGGGGACAACAGUUGGAAACGACUGCUAAUACCGCAUACGAUCUAAUCUCGGCAUCGAGGAUAGAUGAAAGGUGGCCUCUACAUGUAAGCUAUCACUGAAGGAGGGGAUUGCGUCUGAUUAGCUAGUUGGAGGGGUAACGGCCCACCAAGGCGAUGAUCAGUAGCCGGUCUGAGAGGAUGAACGGCCACAUUGGGACUGAGACACGGCCCAGACUCCUACGGGAGGCAGCAGUGGGGAAUCUUCCGCAAUAAACGAAAGUCUGACGGAGCAACGCCGCGGGAGUGAUGACGGCCUUCGGGUUGUAAAGCUCUGUUAAUCGGGACGAAAGGCCUUCUUGCGAAUAGUGAGAAGGAUUGACGGUACCGGAAUAGAAAGCCACGGCUAACUACGUG